UCACUGAUGGUCCAGUGGUUAAGACACAGCAUUUCCAUUGCAGGAAGCCUGGGUUCAGUCCCUGGUCAGGGAA
rnacentral:tRNA from 1 species